GGGGAAUAUUGGACAAUGGGCGAAAGCCUGAUCCAGCAAUACCGCGUGUGUGAAGAAGGCCUGAGGGUUGUAAAGCACUUUCAAUAGGGAGGAAAACCUGUCGGUCAAUACCCGGCAGCUUGACAUUACCUAUACAAGAAGCACCGGCUAACUCCGUGCCAGCAGCCGCGGUAAUACGGAGGGUGCAAGCGUUAAUCGGAAUUACUGGGCGUAAAGCGCGCGUAGGCGGUUAUUUAAGUCAGAUGUGAAAGCCCCGGGCUUAACCUGGGAAUGGCAUUUGAGACUGGAUGGCUAGAGUAUGGUAGAGGUGAGUGGAAUUUCAGGUGUAGCGGUGAAAUGCGUAGAUAUCGGGAGGAAUACCGGUGGCGAAGGCGACCACCUGGCCAGAUACUGACGCUGAGGUGCGAAAGCGUGGGGAGCAAAC
rnacentral:rRNA from 1 species